GACGAACGCUGGCGGCGUGCUUAACACAUGCAAGUCGAGCGGAGCUGCGAACGGGUGAGUAACGCGUGAGUAACUGCCCCCCUCCCUGUGAUAACAGUUGGAAACGGCUCCUAAUACCUGAUAGUGGGGGAUGACUCGCGUCCUAUCAGCUUGUUGGUGGGUUAUUGUCCUACCAAGGCGACGACUGGUAGCCGGCCUGAGAGGGCGACCGGCCAAAAUGGGCUGAGAUAGGGCCCAAACUCCUACGGGAGGCAGCAGUGGGGAAUAUUGCACAAUGGGGGAAACCCUGAUGCAGCAACGCCGCGUGCGGGAUGACGGCCUUCGGGUUGUAAACCGCUUUCAGCCAUGACGCGGUAGUGGCAGAAGAAGCACCGGCUAACUACGUGCCAGCAGCCGCGGUAAUUC
rnacentral:rRNA from 1 species